GAUGAACGCUGGCGGCGUGCCUAAUACAUGCAAGUCGAACGCAUUGAGAGAAGUGCUUGCACUUUUCAAUUUGAGUGGCGAACGGGUGAGUAACACGUGGGCAACCUACCUGAUAGCGGGGGAUAACGAGUGGAAACAUUCGCUAAUACCGCAUAACAAUAGAGAAGGCAUCUUCUUUAUUUAAAAGGCGCUUUCAAGCGUCACUAUCAGAUGGGCCCGCGGUGCAUUAGUUAGUUGGUGGGGUGAAGGCCUACCAAGACGAUGAUGCAUAGCCGAGUUGAGAGACUGAUCGGCCACAUUGGGACUGAGACACGGCCCAAACUCCUACGAGAGGCUGCAGUAGGGAAUCUUCCACAAUGGACGAAAGUCUGAUGGAGCAACGCCGCGUGUGAUGAAGGCUUUCGGGUCGUAAAGCACUGUUGUAUGGGAAGAAAUGCUAGGCUAGGAAAUGAGCUUAGUUUGACGGUACCAUACCAGAAAGGGACGGCUAAAUACGUGCCAGCCGCCGCGGUAA
rnacentral:rRNA from 1 species